UCGCUGGUGGCUCAGACGGUAAAGCGUCUGCCUACAAUGUAGGAGACCCAGGUUCGAUCCCUGGGUUGGGAA
rnacentral:tRNA from 1 species